rnacentral:lncRNA from 1 species
UCCCCGGCAUUUCAAAUACUCAGCAAUCAAAUUUUUCCCGUGAGUUUCGAAGGAUCAACUGAUACGGACGAUGACAACACAAAAUUUGUCCAUGCAUAUGCAUAUAACACAAUUUCAUUUCAGAAAAGGCAGGCACUGGAUAUGUUAAGCAUUCUUUGUUACAAUUUGAUUUUCUUUUUUGGAUAAGAUUACAAUUUGAUGUUGAUGUUUCUUUCGUGGGUUAGUAAUAACAAUUUAUAUUACUAUAGAAUUAACAACAGAUGUGAAUAAAGUGACAUGAGAUAAAG